CAAAGUAUGGGGAUAUAGCAAGAAGUUGCCAUCUAUCAGCCAGAAGGGUGGACCUCACCCCAGAUGCUGAAUCUGCCUUGAUAUUGGACUUCCCAGGCUGCACAACUGACAAACUGGAAACACAGGUUAUAUCACCAAGGCUUUGACUGAAACAUCAUGUUUUCAGAUAUGACCAGAAGGCUUUAUGGGACUAAGGUUGGCUUUAUGGAACCAAUAAAGUACCAUCUUGGAAAAACUGGCUCUAGGGUUCCCAGACUUACAGGCACUGUACGUGGCACUGAGAAUGCAAAGCAGAACGAGUCAUGGUCUACUGGCGGGAGCCUCCUCAGUGGAGAAAAGAUCAGCAAGAAAAGUGCCUGCUGGAGACCUCUCCUAGGGCAUAAACCGAUAUAGAGGUGGGGCAGCUACGUCAGCCUGAGGUGUCCUUAGGCAGAACAGAAAGCGAGAAUCAGAGCAGUAUCUCAUUUCUGAACACCUGGAUUGUAGCUUUCCCUUGACUGACUGUCAAAAGAGGUGGUUUUAAAAAGCAAGCCAAACAGGUUUCCAUCCUUUAGGAAGACCCUGGAACGUGCCAGUUGAUUCUGACAAUUUCUCAUGAACAGAAACUCCUAGGAAGGGAGAACUGUUCCGUUUCAUCAAAUGGAAAUGGGAAAUGGACAGUUUCUCCUACCCCAUGCAGACCAUGCCCCUGAAUUAAAACUGCAGAAUGUGUUAAAGCAUCAUUCAACAUCGUGAGCACAUUUGAGCCUACUUGUGAAGACAAGGAUGAAGACCUCCAUGAUGAGCCAUCUCCACUUAAUGACUGUCUCACAUUGGCUGGCAACUUGUUCCAGUUUGUGUCUUCUAGAUUACAAUAAUUCCAUGUAAAGAUGAUGCUGGCACAAGGCUUUCAACCCAUCCCCUCUUCUGACCCGGAAAAUAAAGACAUCCUACCUUUGGGCCUUUUAGAACAGGUAUCCAGAGAUUUUACUUCUCCUAUGCUAGGCAGGGUCUAUGCCCACAACAUCAGCAGGAAGCAGUUAUAGAAGAUGAAACUCCACCCUUCUGUAAGCCCCUUAAGAUUAAGGAGGAGUAUAUAAUCUCUGAUGGGGAAAUGAGGUAGGAGACCGGAAGGACUUAUUUUCCAGUCACAAUCCCAUUGAACAGAGCAGGAUCUGGUCAAAAUGGCGCAGUGAAGAAGCCUGCUGAAACCAGCAGAUGAUGAUGAAAGUGACCUCUAGUUGCCGUCACUGCUUAUGAGCAUAAAGACACUACCACUGGGACCAUGGCCAGUUUACAAAUGUCAUGGCAACACACAUUGGCAAUGGCCUUGAAGUUACUUUAUAUGGUUCUGGAAACUCCCUGCCCCUUUUCCAGAAAGUUCUGAAUAACCUACCUCUUAAUUGGCAUGCAAUUAAAAGUGGGUCUAAAUACAACUAGCUAGCAGCCCACAGGCACCAACUCUGGGCACACUGCCUAUGGGUUAGCCCUGCUCUGCAAGAAGCAGCACCAGUUCAAUAAAAGUUGCUUUCUCUCACCA
rnacentral:lncRNA from 1 species